AGAGUUUGAUCAUGGCUCAGGACGAACGCUGGCGGCGUGCCUAACACAUGCAAGUCGAGCGGAGACAGUGAGUAGCUUGCUAUGAGCUGUUUUAGCGGUGGACGGGUGAGUAACGCGUGAGCAACCUUUCCCAGACAGGGGAAUAACACACCGAAAGGUGUACUAAUACCGCAUAAGACCACGGGAUCACAUGGUUCUGGGGUAAAAGAUUUUAUCGGGUUUUGGGGUGGGCUCGCGUCCGAUUAGGUAGUUGGUGAGGUAACCGG
rnacentral:rRNA from 1 species